GCAGAGUGGAAGUUUUUUAAUUACACUGUUGUAGAUUAUUUCUGAUAAUUUCAAAGAAUCAAUUGGUCGAUGUCUUAUAAGACGCAAUGACGCUGAGCAUCAUAAUUAAUUUUAAGAAUAAUAUUCGCUUUUCUCAUGUUUCACGGAUGCAACACAAAAGCAAUGAGCAAGAAGAUACAGGAAUUUUGCAAGCAGUGAGCUGUUCGAUUUUGCCAGUGCAAGAAUCAACAUGUGUAGAGUGAUGGUUACGAUAUUUUUCGUUUUGGAGUACAUUGUACAGUCGUUUCAGAGCAGAGAUGGAAAAACGUAGAAGGUAACGUCGGUGAAAACCAAACCCAUAUCAAAUCUCCGUGGGAAUCCGUCGAAUUUCCAAUGUAUCCUGUCUAAAUCGCCCAGCCGCGCCUUCGUAUGAGGAUACACGUGCCAGCCACAUGUUGCACAAAAGGAAUCCUCCGUGGUCCUUUUUGGGCGCCGUACAGCGUAAGUCGCCGUCACAAAGAAGCUUUGGGGCCCCAUAAAUGAUUCUCCUUCGUCGGGGGGCACUGCCGAGGGGUCUGACGACGCGGCAGAUGUUCUAUGUCUCUGCGCCCCUGAAGACGUCUAUCCGCGCCGGACACGCUUAAGGACAUAUAAUACCGCUUUCUCACCUCAGCUAAAUUUAUCCUUGUAGGAUACUUUAAGGAUUGUGUAGGAUACCUUAAUGAUUGUGGUACCGUAACUUCGUGCCAUAAUAUGCGACAUUUGUGUCACCAGAAAUAUAACAUAUUGAAUGAAAGAGAGUUUUCCGCCAAGUUCGAAACUGUAAAGGAACGGAAUCCACAACAUCCGUGAGCGCCUGCUUUCAUACCGCUCUUCGAUAAAAGGCAGGUAAAAACAUUCCUGCCUGGAGAGAGACCAUUCCUGUUCUGACCCACCUGGCUUUUAUACACACUUUUGGCCUGAAAUACCAGUUUCUCCUACAUCCAUCACGUAACCAUCUAUGGAUAUCCUCAAGCUGAAAGGGCAGACCUACGUCUCUCCAUCGUCUUUGUGCAAACACUCAUCGGUCCUUGAUAGAGAAUCUUCAUAUAACAUAUUUUUUAAAGCAUAUGGCCCAUCUAUGCGUCAAAUAGACACCUUAAAGCCGAGGCGCCGAGCACAGACACGCGACACGAAAGUAAGGCCAAAUUUGGCAAAGCACGUCGGUCGACGAUAAAGAAAAGAAGCCGAAACGACGGAAGAGGAACGGACAAUGAUCUCCGCAACAGCGGGAACAUCUGCUCGGUACCGGCGCGCCGCCGCUCUCGUAUCGCUCGUGGCGUGUCCUCCUUCACGGGCCGAUCUGCCCGAUCCCGAUGCCGUGAAACUUGUCCCACCUCGGUGCGCAUGCAUAGGUGUUACGCACAACUGACACGAAAUCAUGAUGAUGGAUAUUAUUUAUGUUUCUGCCGAAACUCGCUCAGGCCACCAGCCGCCUGUACGAACACUUGGAAGAAAACUCGGCGCGGCUUUAGAUGGGCCACAUGCCUUCCUGGUUCUCCUAUCUAGCAGCUGUCCUCACGGAACAGUGUAUCUCAUUCUGCCCUUAAUACCGUUCGAAGAAUCCAUGCUACUUUGCACGUCGAACUUACAACAUGAGACAAAUUUUAUCUCCACCAAUGAAGACGAAGCUAUUUCGUAUGCUUGACCAACUCCAAGAGAAGAGAGUACGAUAACCCACCGUAAUUAAAGCUACUUAACUCUUCACUAGGACUGUACUGACGUACUAGCGGAGCUGCGCCUGUAGAACGGUCUAUGAAGCGGGUUUAGAAGAAUGUAAUAUCGACGAAUAUCAUACGAAUCCCAUGGCAAAUUUAUUCCGAUCACGCGCAUUCAUCGUCG